ACUUAACUGAAGAGUUUGAUCAUGGCUCAGAUUGAACGCUGGCGGCAGGCCUAACACAUGCAAGUCGAGCGGAUGAGAGGAGCUUGCUCCUCGAUUCAGCGGCGGACGGGUGAGUAA
rnacentral:rRNA from 1 species